AUAAAACUGAUAUAAAUUGUUUGAAAUAGUUCCUUUGUUAUGAUUGUUUAGAUGCACAAGCUAUUGAAAGCUUAUAUGAAAAAUUAAACACUAUGGAGAAUACAAUAAACAAUUUAGUUAACGCUUUGAAACCUUCAUCAAGUUCCUCAAG